rnacentral:misc_RNA from 1 species
CCGCGCGCCCUCCUUCGAUGCAGCGGAGAAAGCCGCGGGGAGUGGGGCAACACCUCGCCGGCGGCGACCUCGGGUAAGGCAAGGCUCCGAAAGUCGAGCGUGACUCGAUCUCGCGAUCACGCAUGCCUCAGAGCCCCCUGUUGCCACGCCGCAAACUACUGAAGCCUUCGUGUGCCUCAGCGGCGCAAAUGGCAGUGAGAAGAGAGUCACUGCAUGGGCGGGAUCAUUUUCCCAUAUUCCCACGCAGUCAUUGGAUACCUGGGUCGCUGCCUCCCCGAGGGCGGAUAGCGGCUAAAGCUGAGCUCGACGAACUCGGCAUCAUCGAGGCACGCGCGCAAAAAGACGCGGGCCACAUUUACAGCUGCUUCUGGCCCGACACUAUCAUCGCAAAGGGAGUCUAGUGCGCGACAGGGGCGGGGAACAGCAAGAGUGCAAGUUGCUUACGCUGAAGGAACUCUGUGCUGGCUGCUUUCAUCAAUCAAAUCGGCGAAUUCAAAGAGCGACCCGAGAGAGCUACCGGCGUUUAUGGCUGGGCCUCCGGCACUGCGGAUGUCUGCGAGCACGCUCUAUGGGCACCUCACAGCUUUACUGGCCAACACCGCAGUAGAGACGACCGAAGGGGACGCAGUGCAGAAAGGGUGGCGGCAGGAUAUGGUGAGCAGCGCGCGUGUGUGCUAGCAAACAAAAAAAAGAACGCAG